rnacentral:tRNA from 1 species
AUUUAAAUAAUUUAAUUAAAAAUUUUGAUUUGUGGAAUCAACUAUGUAAAAAUUUACUUUAAAUU